AAAAUUUUCCUCUCUAAAACACACAAAACUUUCCAUGUAAAAACUGUUUCAAAACAAAAGUCAAACAAAAAAAAAAACAUCAGCGGCAUUGAAAUGAGCGCGCGCGUUGCUCUCUCGCUCUCGCGUAUCGCCUCUCGCAACUGAACGAAAAGACGACGCAAAAGAGAAUGGCGUAAAAACAUUACCUAAUUGUUGUUAUUGUUUUUGUUUUGUUGCUUUUGUUUGAUAUUUGCGAGAAAAAUGGUUUGCUCAGUGGGGAGCAGUGGCGGCGGUUGCGUUGCUUGCCUUUCUCUCUUGGGACGUUCGUUGUGUGUGCUUCUGUGUGUGUAUAUAUGUGUGUGAGUGUGUGCGAAUAACACGCGCCCUGUUGCAUGCAAAAUUCAAAUUAAAAGGCAAUUGCAAUUGGUAAUUACAAACUGUCAAGAGGGACGUACAAAUGCACACGCUCCUGUUUUAUUUUUAUUUUUCGUUUUUUGGCAAUUUGCUUUCAGUAUUUGUUUAGAAUAAAUAUAAAUUACGUCACA